AGUUCUGAGUAUUUUUAAAUGAAUUUUGAAGUAUGGACAUUUAGCACUAGUGUCUAUGGGAAUUUAUUUGCAGGCGCGCACCCUAUAGAUCCUGAGUGGUGGCGGCCAUGUUGUUAUGACGGGGGAUUUCAACGUGUGCUUUUUAUUGCUGUAAGUACAAAAUAAGCUUAAAUUGAGUUAAAAUAAAUAUGAAAACAAACAUUUUACACUCUGUAUCUUUGAUUUUUCAGGUUUUUAUUCAAAACACACUGUGGAAGUUAGCAUUUACAUGUAAGUGAACCGUUAAAAAAAUGUAAACAAUGAGUCAUUCACCCCAGUCUGUGCAUGUUCUUAUUUUGUUUCCAUUUCGGGGUAUUUUAAUUGGUUAUUAUUGAAAUCGAACACAGAGAAGGCACAGUUCUUUCUUUAUUCAGACAAAAAUAAGUGAAUAAUAUUGUUUGUACUUGUUUGAGCUUGUACAAAUCAAAUUUUGACUUGUAAUAAAAUGGAUGGUGAAGGGUGGACAUUCACAUCCAAGGUAAAAAACUUUUAGCCAAUGGAUUUCUGGGCUCCUGAAAAACACUGAGACAAAAUGGCCGACAUGGAGUCGUGGUGCGCCAGAAUUAAAUGGGCGAUUGCAAAAAAGAGCAGAUUUCAGCCUUCAAAAGGAUGCCGGCUUUGGCGGGGAUGCAUAAAAAAAUCCUAUGGCAUCAUUUCAAUGAAAAUGCCAGGCUCGAACAAACGCACUCUGAAGUCUGUGCACAGGGCGGCUUACAUGGCACACACCGGAAAUGUAAAUUUGCCACGGGAGUGGGAUGUAAGUCACCUGUGCCAGAAUUCAUUGUGCGUUUGUUUCGAGCAUUUGUCCCUUGAACCUAGGGCUGUAAAUAAUAGCAGAAAAGUCUGCAAACGACUCAAGCAGUGCCAAGGGCACGAUGGGUACCGGGAGUGCCUGCUUUAAGCAAGGGCUUUUGCAGCUGGGGAGCCUGCAGUUACUGGGCAACCAGCAGCUGCGCACUUUUUGACUAUUGAAUUGGCGUGUCUGUUAUUCACCAAGUGCACUGCGCUAUGGUCUCGACAAGAACCAUUUCUUGAGAAGGCUACUUAUCGAGGGAACAGUUGUGUCCAUUGCAGACAACAGCCGCCUAGCCCCAGCAGCUGCAAUGCCGGUGUUGUAAAGACCAACCUGGAACGCCAUGUUGGGAGUGGCAGUCCGUCGUCCUCUCCCCGUCUGUGGAAUUUCGGUGAACAGUUUUGUCUUGUCAGUGCAGAACCCACACUUUUGGCAGGACAGUACCUCGGACACAGCCAAACCUCGUCGCUCCUCAGCAUCUGGCAUCAAUGUGGGCCGGCCGCUGCAAUCAGGAUGUGUGCGUUGGUGAUCUAGGAUAGCCUGCGCUCCCAAGUCGACUGCAGAAUUGAUGUCGACGAACCGGUAGGCUGCUCGCUUCCCUCCAUCUGACUGAUCAGCUGGGCUCUGGUGCUGGAGUUCUCUUCUACAGAGGGGCUGUGGUACUGCUUCCUUCUUGAGUUGGAGUUUGUCAAGGGGAGUAGUUUCAGCAGCGUUUGGUCGAAGCAGCAUGACUUUCCUUGUCGGCACUGCAUUGGGCGUGGUACAGAUGAACCCCCGCUCAUCUCUUUCAACAGCAAGUUGCAUCUGCUGUUGUGUUGGCCUUGUGUACACUGUUGGUGAGUUCAUCUGAAAAUGACUGAUUGGGGAUUUACACUUUGCAGGGAAUAGUUUAUGGCCAUUCUGGAACCAGCUUUUCUUCCUUUUGUACACUGCUCGUCCCAAUCGACCCAUACUGAAACUGCUGCAGAAAUAGCUGGUUUUGCAAAAUUGAGAUUGUUUUUCCCCUGUGUGAGCAUGUGACAGAAUGCAUGUGGUCACACUAACUCUCAAUGCCAGAGUGAUGACUAUACAGCACAAGUUUGGUUAAUAAUUCAGAAGCCAGUCUGUACAGAGAGUUUAUUUCUGUUGUUAUUUUAUGGG
rnacentral:misc_RNA from 1 species